rnacentral:tRNA from 1 species
GGAGCACUGCGCUAACGGCAUGCGGCCCCAUCUUUCAGGGGUGAGUCCGGGUUCGAGUCCCGGGUGCUUCGC